AUUGAACGCUGGCGGCAGGCCUAACACAUGCAAGUCGGGCGAGUGGCGGACGGGUGAGUAAUGUAUGGGGAUCUGCCCGAUGGAGGGGGAUAACUACUGGAAACGGUAGCUAAUACCGCAUACCAUCAGAUGAACCCAUAUGGGAUUAGCUAGUAGGUGAGGUAACGGCUCACCUAGGCGACGAUCCCUAGCUGGUCUGAGAGGAUGACCAGCCACACUGGAACUGAGACACGGCCCAGACUCCUACGGGAGGCAGCAGUGGGGAAUAUUGCACAAUGGGCGCAAGCCUGAUGCAGCCAUGCCGCGUGUAUGAAGAAGGCCUUCGGGUUGUAAAGUACUUUCAGUCGGGAGGCGUUACCCGCAGAAGAAGCACCGGCUAACUCCGUGCCAGCAGCCGCGGUAAUAC
rnacentral:rRNA from 1 species